GUGACCCCAGGUCAGGCGG
rnacentral:rRNA from 10 species